rnacentral:rRNA from 1 species
GAGAGUUUGAUCCUGGCUCAGGAUGAACGCUGGCGGCGUGCCUAAUACAUGCAAGUCGAGCGAACAGAUAAGGAGCUUGCUCCUUUGACGUUAGCGGCGGACGGGUGAGUAACACGUGGGUAACCUACCUAUAAGACUGGAAUAACUCCGGGAAACCGGGGCUAAUGCCGGAUAACAUGUUGAACCGCAUGGUUCUACAGUGAAAGACGGUCUUGCUGUCACUUAUAGAUGGACCCGCGCCGUAUUAGCUAGUUGGUGGGGUAACGGCCUACCAAGGCGACGAUACGUAGCCGACCUGAGAGGGUGAUCGGCCACACUGGAACUGAGACACGGUCCAGACUCCUACGGGAGGCAGCAGUAGGGAAUCUUCCGCAAUGGGCGAAAGCCUGACGGAGCAACGCCGCGUGAGUGAUGAAGGUCUUCGGAUCGUAAAGCUCUGUUGUUAGGGAAGAACAAAUGUGUAAGUAACUGUGCACAUCUUGACGGUACCUAACCAGAAAGCCACGGCUAACUACGUGCCAGCAGCCGCGGUAAUACGUAGGUGGCAAGCGUUAUCC